rnacentral:lncRNA from 1 species
CAGCAACCGGGGUCAAAAACGUGGGUGAUCGUCGGAACCUGUGAAAAUGGCCUCCGGACCCGUUUUGGGCCAUGAAUACAUGUGCCAUAGGUCAAGUGAGCCUGAAUACGGACACGCCGACAACCGGGGUCGAAAAUGUGGGUGAUCGUCCGAACCUUUGAAAAUGGCCUCUGGACCCAUUUUGCGCCAAGAAUACGUGUGCUAUAGGUCACGUUAGCCCGAAUACGGACACGCCGGCAACCGGGGUCAAAAACGUGGCUGAUCGUCCGAAGCUGUUAAAAUAGCCUCCGGACCCGUUUUGGGCCAAGAAUACGUGUGCUAUAGGUCACGUGAGCCCGAAUACGGUCAGACGGACAACCGGGGUCGAAAUCGUGGGGGAACGUCCGAAACCGUGAAAAUGGCGCCCCGGCCCGUUUUCAGCCAAGAAAACGUGUGCUAUAGGUCACGGGAGCCCGAAUACGGACACACCGGCAACCGGGGUCGAAAACGUGGGGGGAGGUCCAAAACCAUUAAAAUGGCGUCCGGACCCGUUUUGGGCCAAGAAUACGUGUGCUAUAGGUCACGUGAGGCCGAAUACGGACACACCGACAACCAGGGUCGACAUCGUGGGGGAAUGUCCGAAACCGUGAAAAUGGCCCCCAGGCCCGUUUUCAGCCAAGAAAACGUGUGCUAUAGGUCACGUGACGGGAGCCCCAAUACGGUCACACCGGCAACCGAGGUUGAAAACGUGGGUGAUCGUCCGAAGCUGUGAAAUUGGCCUCCGGACCCGUUUUGGGCCAAGAAUACGUGUGCUAUAGGUCACGUGAGCCCGAAUCCGAACAUGCCGACAAUCGGGGUCGAAAACGUGGGUGAUCGUCCGAACCUAUGAAAAUGGCCUCUUGACCGAUUUUGCGCCAAGAAUACGUGUGCUAUAGGUCACGUGAGCCCGAAUACGGACACGCCGGCAACCGGGGUCAAAAACGUGGGUGAUCGUCCGAAACUGUGAAAAUGGCCUCCGGACCCGUUUUGGGCCAAGAAUACGUGUGCUAUAGGUCACGGGAGCCCAAAUACGGACACACCGGCAACCGGGGUCGAAAACAUGGGGGGAGGUCCAAAACCAUGAAAUUGGCUUCCGGACCCGUUUUGGGCCGAGAAUACGUGUGCUAUAGGUCACGUGAGCCCGAAUACGGACACACCGACAACCGGGGUCGAAAUCGUGAGGGAUUGUCCGAAACUGUAAAAAUGGCCCCAAGGCCUGUUUUCGGCGAAGAAAACGUUUGCUAUAGGUCACGGGAGCCCGAAUACAGACACACCGGCAACCGGGAUUGAAAACGUGGGGGGAGGUCCGAAACCAUGAAAGUGGCUUUCGGACCCGUUUUGGGGCAAGAAUACGUGUGCUAUGGUCACGUGAGCCCAAAUACGUACACGCCGACAACCGGGCUCGAAAACGUGGGUGAUCGUCCGAAGCUGUGAAAAUGGCCUCCGGACCCGUUUUGGGCCAGGAAUACGUGUGCCAUAGCUCACGUGAGCCCGAAUACGAACACGCCGACACCCGGGGUUGAAAACGUGGGUGAUCGUCCGAACCUGUGAAAAUGGCCUCUGGACCCAUUUUGCGCCUAGAAUACGUGUGCUAUAGGUCACGUGAGCCCGAAUACGGACACGCCGACAACCGGGGUCAAAAAUUUAGUAGACCGUACGAAGUUGUGAAAAUGGCUGCCGGAUCCGUUUUGGGCCAACAAUACGUGUGCUAUAGGUCAUCUGAGCCCGCAUAUGGACACGCCGACAAAAGGGGUCGAAAACAUUGGUGAUCGUCGGAACCUGUGAAAAUGGCCUCCGGACCCGUUUUGGGCCAAGAAUACGUGUGCUAUAGGUCACGUGAGCCCGAAUACGGUCAGACCGGCAACCGGGGUCGAAAACGACUACGAACUGCCGAAUGCCAUGAAAANNNNNNNNNNNNNNNNNNNNNNNNNNNNNNNNNNNNNNNNNNNNNNNNNNNNNNNNNNNNNNNNNNNNNNNNNNNNNNNNNNNNNNNNNNNNNNNNNNNNNNNNNNNNNNGUGAAAAUGGCCUCUGGACCCGUUUUGGGCCAAGAAUACAUGUGCCAUAGGUCAAGUGAGCCUGAAUACGGACACGCCGACAACCGGGGUCGAAAAUGUGGGUGAUCGUCCGAACCUUUGAAAAUGGCCUCUGGACCCAUUUUGCACCAAGAAUACGUGUGCUAUAGGUCACGUUAGCCCGAAUACGGACACGCCGGCAACCGG